rnacentral:rRNA from 1 species
AUUCCAGCUUCAGUAGCGUAUAUUAAAGUUGUUGCAGUUAAAAAGCUCGUAGUCGCAUUUCUGGCGAGAGGAUCCGGUCCGACCUUUUGGUGGGUUCUUGGGUCUCUUUCGCCAUCCUUGAGUGGUCCGUUCUGGCAUUAGGUUGUCGGAGCGUCAGCCGCUCAUCGUUUACUGUGAGAAAAUUAGAGUGUUCAAAGCAGGCUUAUGCCGUUGAAUAUAUUAGCAUGGAAUAAUAAGAUAGGACCUCGGUACUAUUUUGUUGGUUUGCGCACCAAGGUAAUGAUGAACAGGGACAGUUGGGGGUAUCUGUAUUUCGUUGUCAGAGGUGAAAUUCUUAGAUUUACGAAAGACAAACUACUGCGAAAGCAUUUACCAAGGAUGUUUUCAUCG